rnacentral:rRNA from 1 species
GACGAACGCUGGCGGCGUGCUUAACACAUGCAAGUCGAGCGAAGCGAUUUUAAGGAAGCCUUCGGGCGGAAUUAAGAUUGACUUAGCGGCGGACGGGUGAGUAACGCGUGGGUAACCUGCCUCAUACAGGGGGAUAACAGUUAGAAAUGACUGCUAAUACCGCAUAAGCGCACAGUGUUGCAUAGCACAGUGUGAAAAACUCCGGUGGUAUGAGAUGGACCCGCGUCUGAUUAGGUAGUUGGUGAGGUAACGGCCCACCAAGCCGACGAUCAGUAGCCGACCUGAGAGGGUGACCGGCCACAUUGGGACUGAGACACGGCCCAAACGCCUACGGGAGGCAGCAGUGGGGAAUAUCGGACAAUGGGGGAAACCCUGAUCCAGCGACGCCGCGUGACUGAAGAAGUAUUUCGGUAUGUAAAGGUCUAUCAGCAGGGAAGAAAAUGACGGUACCUGACUAAGAAGCCCCGGCUAACUACGUGCCAGCCGCCGCGGUAA